AUUGAACGCUGGCGGCAUGCCUAACACAUGCAAGUCGAGCGGAUGAAGCGUGCUUGCUCCUGGUUUCCGCGUCGCACGGGUGAGUGAUGCCUAGGAAUCUGCCUGCUAGUACUGGAUAAUGUCCGGAAACGGGUGCUAAUACCGCAUACUUCCUGCGGGAGCUAGUUGGGGAUCUUCGGACCUGGCGGUAUGGGAUGAGCCUAGGGCUGAUUAGCUAGUUGGUGGGGUAAAGGCCUACCAAGGCGGUGAUCGGUAACUGGCCUGAGAGGAUGAUCAGGCACAAUGGGACUGAGAUACGGCACAGACUGCUACGGGAGGCAGCAGGGGGGAAUAUUGCACAAUGGGCGGAAGUCUGAUGAAGAAACGCCGCGUGCGGGAUGAAGGCCUUCGGGUGGUAAACCGCUUUAGCCUGUGACGAAGCGUGAGUGACGGUAAUGGGUAAAGAAGCACCGGCUAACUACGUG
rnacentral:rRNA from 1 species